UACGUAGGGUGCGAGCGUUGUCCGGAAUUAUUGGGCGUAAAGGGCUUGUAGGCGGUUUGUCGCGUCGGGAGUGAAAUCCACUGGCUUAACUGGUGGCUUGCUUUCGAUACGGGCAGACUGGAGGUAUGCAGGGGAGAACGGAAUUCCUGGUGUAGCGGUGAAAUGCGCAGAUAUCAGGAGGAACACCGGUGGCGAAGGCGGUUCUCUGGGCAUGUCCUGACGCUGAGGAGCGAAAGUGUGGGGAGCGAACAGG
rnacentral:rRNA from 1 species